rnacentral:rRNA from 1 species
GUGCGUAACGCGUAUGCAAUCUGCCUUGUACAGAGGGAUAGCCCAGAGAAAUUUGGAUUAAUACCUCAUAGUAUUAUUGAAUGGCAACAUUUAAUAAUUAAAGUUCCAACGGUACAAGAUGAGCAUGCGUCCUAUUAGCUAGUUGGUGUGGUAACGGCAUACCAAGGCUACGAUAGGUAGGGGUCCUGAGAGGGAGAUCCCCCACACUGGUACUGAGACACGGACCAGACUCCUACGGGAGGCAGCAGUGAGGAAUAUUGGACAAUGGGCGCAAGCCUGAUCCAGCCAUGCCGCGUGCAGGAAGGCGCAUCUAUGGUGUGUAAACUUCUUUUGUACGGGAAGAAACACUCCCUCGUGAGGGAGCUUGACGGUACCGUAAGAAUA